rnacentral:rRNA from 1 species
UACGAACCGUCCAAACGUUACUCGGAAUCACUGGGCUUAAAGGGUGCGUAGGCCGCGCGGAGGGUGGGAUGUGAAAUCCCCCGGCUCAACCGGGGAAUAGCGUCCCAAACCGCCGUGCUCGAGGGAGACAGAGGUGAGCGGAACUGAUGGUGGAGCGGUGAAAUGCGUUGAUAUCAUCAGGAACACCAGUGGCGAAAGCGGCUCACUGGGUCUUUCCUAACGCUGAGGCACGAAAGCUAGGGGAGCAAACGGG